rnacentral:rRNA from 1 species
AUCAUUAACGAGUUAGGGUCUCUCUGGCCCGACCUCCCAACCCUUUGUCUACUUGACCAUCGUUGCUUCGGCGAGCCCGUCCUCAGGACCGCCGGAGGGACCUUUACUGGCCCUCUGGUCCGCGCUCGUCGGUAGCCCAACCUUUAAAAUCUUUAACUAAACGUGCCUUAAUCUAAGUACAAUUAUUAAAUAAAAGCAAAACUUUCAACAACGGAUCUCUUGGUUCUGGCAUCGAUGAAGAACGCAGCGAAAUGCGAUAAGUAAUGCGAAUUGCAGAAUUCCAGUGAGUCAUCGAAUCUUUGAACGCACAUUGCGCCCUUUGGUAUUCCGAAGGGCAUGCCUGUUCGAGCGUCAUUAUCACCCCUCAAGCCCCUGGCUUGGUGUUGGACGGUUUGGUGGAGGUCCCCUCGGGGGCUCCUGCCCCUCCCAAAGACAAUGACGGCGGCCUCGUUGGACCCCCGGUACACUGAGUUCUUCACGGGACACGUAUCGGACACAUGGGUUUACGGGACACGGUCUGCCUCCCCUCAGGGAGAAUCUUUCUAAGGUUGACC